rnacentral:tRNA from 1 species
GCCUUGAUGGUGAAAUGGUAGACACGCGAGACUCAACAUCUCGUGCUGAAGAGCGUGGAGGUUCGAGUCCUCUUCAAGGCA